ACCACCGAAGCGACCGUAUUUUUUAAAUUUUGACAAAAGACCGACUGAAGACCAACGAUGCCAGAAAAGUGGCUGGGCUACGAAGUUACAUUAAAAACUCCAAGGUGAUAAAGAGGAGAGCAGAAAGAUGACAGCCACUGUGAUGCAGAGGCUGACCGGACCGCUCCACAAUCAAUCACCUAUGAAUAAAAAUGCUGUUACUACAGGCACUGAUGAUCACAUCUAUGAGAAAAGAAGUAGAAGGAUGUAUGUGGCUGGCUUCCAGGAGUAUCUUGGUUCUGGCGAUGAAGUAACGGCAGACAGAGGCUUUACCAUCAGAGAUCUGCUUGAGAGGCGAUUUAACCUUGUUCUACCAGCAUUCACUCAUAAAAGGAGGACGGUUGUCUGAUGAGGAUGUAACUGCCACAAGGAUUGCAGAUGUCCACAUACAUGUGGAAAGAGUUAUCAGGAGGCUCAAAGUUUUCACAAUAAUCUCCCAGACUGUAACCAUCAGCUUCAAUAUAAAAUGGACAAAAUCUUUCGAAUCUGUGCAGCUCCUGUGAACACGCAGGGGGAAUCAUCCACAAGGAUGUUGAUUGAGCGGAGAAGUUUACAUGUCAAAAAGAUCCUGAUUAGUUAUAUUCUACUGCAAAUCAGUGGAAUUAAAAUACACUAGAAUGUGUUUUGGAUCUGUGCUUUUAAAUAUUUCUUUGUUUAGCACCUUCAGGUUUUACAUUUUGGAAUAAAUUUUUCAUUUUUAAUAACUUAAGUAUUGUAUAUCCUUAUUUUCAGACUAUUCAGAUGUUUACAUAUACAAAAAUUGUGUCCAACUAAAAUGUGUACAAUUAAAUUUCACUAUCAA